CGGGGCAUGGCGCAUUCUGGUUUAGCGCGUUUGACUGGGGGUCAAAAGGUCGCUGGUUCGAAUCCAGUUGCCCCGA
rnacentral:tRNA from 1 species